AUGAGGGUGAAGUUCUGGUGUAUGUUAAGUAAUAUGUGGAGAGAAGUUAGCAGUUGGAGAAGGAGGGUUCUGUUAUAUAUUCUGUUGGAGGUUGUGUUUUCAGUUGGAGAUUUGGUUAUUCGGUUAUUCGAGAGUUUAUUACAGGUUUGGUUAUAACAGUUGGGUAUUGUCGGUUCAUAAUUGAAGUUGGAAUCUGUUAUGUGUUUGUUACCACAGGAUUGUGAUUGGAAGUGUUUUUACAGGUUUUUGGUAAUUUGAUUUUUGCUGCUUCUUUAUGUCGGUUGGUUGAUUUAGCGGGUUAGAUUUGGUUAUGAAGAUUGGAGGGGAAAUGAAUGGUUCUCAGUUUGAGAAAAUGAGGAUUAUUAGAUGAAGGUCUUGAAGGAAAUUUGAGAUGGAUUAGGAUAGUUAUGUUGGUUAGAGUUCUGUUAUAUUUCUCUUGGAAUUUUUUCUAACUGACUUAUGUUACAUGAUUUUCUUGAAGGUUAGAAGUAGUUCCAGUUUUUUUGGGAAAAGGUUUUAUUUUUAUGGAGAGCCCUUUUGACGAGUUCUCCCUCUGUUUCAAUCCUGGAAGUUAUUUGAAUGGGAAUUUUUUUGUUAAGUUGUGAAGGUUCGAUAAAACAGUGAAGAGAUUGUUGAGGUUCUGUUUAGCUCAAAAGGUUGAAAAAUAAAAUGAGGUUAGAGACAGUUCCCAGUUCUGUUUUCUUCAGUUUUGAAGGAGUUUGUUAGAGGGAAGUUCUAAUUCUGUUAGGGAGUUUUUUGUAUACUAUUAGCAGUUAACUUGUGAUAGUCUUUUGGAUGAAUGUUGUCAUAGCUUAUGGUGCUUAUGAUCAGGUAUCUCUUAUGAUAUGCAAGGCCAGUGUGCUUGGAAUGAUUCAAGACAUGGAAAUGGAGGCAUCAUGAACGUUUAAAGUUUGGAAAAGGUAGCAAAGCAAGGCUUACUUGUGUAUAGCUUGAAAAUGUAACUUUGUAAUGUAGGGUUAUGUAUGGAAUUGAAUAAGCUUAAUGUUUAAUUUUUUGUAACUUGAAGUUAAAUUGUAAUUUUGUCAUAAGAAUGUAUAUGAGGUUGAAUGUAAUAUGGUUUAUGGUUAUGGAAGUUGUAUGUUUAGAAAUGGUUGUAACAUGAAUUUGUGGUUUAUGGAAACGUAAUAAAAAGGUUGAAAUGGUUUAUGGAAA